UUCGACCUCCACAUCUCCCCAUCUUAAAUCAAUUCAUCGUUAAUGGUCCCGAUUCGUAAACACACCUCCGUAAUUCCUCCUUAUAUAUACUUCAUCUUAAACGGAAGGAACCCUUCAUCUCAAAAACUCUCAUCGAUCAGAUUUAUGAUUAUAUAGAAUUCAAGGAAUGUGAAGAAAGAUGGAGAGCUUUAGGAGAUCGAUAUGUUUCUGGUAGAUGAGCAGUUUAGGCUGAUUAAGGGCGGUAUUAGCGUCCACCUCUUGAAUCUAUGAGAUCAGUGGAUUCGAUGUAAAAAGAGAAAUCUAUUUUUUCAAGCUCACAAUGGCAGCCGUCUCUAUUAGAUUCACUCAAGAAACGUCCAUGGUCGAAAUACCCGAAACCAUUAAUCUUAUACCAAAGGAGGUCUUCAUGAACACCUACUUACCACAUGUUGUCGGGGAGGUUAUGGGGUUAAAACCAAACCCAGACUAUUCAGCGUAUUGUGGCGAACCUACGGCUAGAACGGGGUGUAUGUUUCAGUGUUUCGAUGGGCUCGGCGCUUUGCUUCAUGAGAAAUUGGUGGCCUCAGGUUGUAUUCACUUACCAACAUGGAUCCUACCUAAGCUGGUUGUAGACUGUGGAGUUUCUGUGCACUGGAUAAGUUGUUAGUAAUGAAACUACCAAUGGGUGGUGCUACACCUCCUGCUCAAAAUGCUAUCGAAAGCUUCAGCGUGGAUUUUCCUCAUUCACACGUGCAUACUGCCAUUACGACAACGCAGUUGGAGUUCUCAGGUUAUCCUCCCAUUGCUCAAGUUUAGGUACUUUGUCCAAUUCUGUGGGUCAGAUAGGACAAAUUCCGCUGGGUUUUGUGGCAUUUGACGGAGAUAUGACUAAGCAAACCAACUCAUGUGCAGAAGAAAUUACUCGACUAACAGAUACCCCGACUAAAGACCCUUGCCACAAUGCUUAAAGGAUUUGGUUGGCACCACUAUAACUUUGCAUUUAAAGCUGUCCCCAUUCAACUUUUCCUAAAAGCAGCAGUCCUUCACCAUAGCAAGGAUCAUUGAUCGCAAUCAACGUCCACCACUCUGCUGGAAACGGAGAAGAUGAUAACACUGGAGAUGACAUGCCUGGAGUUGGAGCAGUUAAAAGUACGCCCUCCAUUGAUGUCACCAAGGAAGUCCCUGUUGACAGUGCCAGACCUUCACGAGGAUGUACGCACCGUCAAGAAGCCCCGCAAUGGUUAAGCUUCGCAUAUAGGGAAUGUCCAAGCUCAAUGCCCAUUACUGCUUUUCCUUUCGUUUUGAAUUUUCUUCUUAGCUUCAUUAAACUGCUAAGGAACUCCGUUCCUCUAGGAAUCCUAUUCUAUGUUCUUAGAAAAUUUUCAUUAUGCUUUGCUUGGUCACUUAUAGCCUUAUUGAGCCUUAUCUAAAUUUAUAAAA